AGCCCAUUAGCAUAGCGGUCAAUGCACUGGGCCUUGACCCCAGGGACUGCGGUUCGAAUCCGCAAUGGGCCG
rnacentral:tRNA from 1 species